GCUACAAAGCUAGCCGAACUAUUUAAACCCUGGACCAAAUACUCAACUACAUAUAGCCAGACAACAUAUUAAAAAUACUAACUAAAACAUUCUUCCAUCUUAGUAUAGGAGAUAGAAAAGAAAAUUUUCGAGCCACAAAAAUAGUACCGCAAGGGAAAGCUGAAAAAGAAAUGAAACAACCCAUUCAAGCAUAAAAAAGCAGAGAUUUAGCCUCGUACCUUUUGCAUCAUGACUUAGCCAGAAUACUUAAGCAAAGAGAACUUUAGUUUAAUUUCCCGAAACUAAACGAGCUACUCCGAGACAGCUUUAAUGAGAGCCAACCCGUCUCUGUAGCAAAAGAGUGGGAUGAUCCCUGAGUAGAGGUGACAAACCUAACGAGUUUAGUUAUAGCUGGUUGCUUAAAAAAUGAAUAUAAGUUCAGCCUUACACUCUCCUAAAUCAAAAACAAAGAAUUAAAGAGCCUACGUAAGAGUUAAUUGAAGGAGGUACAGCUCCUUCAAAAAAGAAAACAACCUUCACAGAUGGGCAAGGAUUAUAUUAAUUAAGGCACUCUACUACAGUGGGCUUGAAAGCAGCCACCUGUAAAGAAAGCGUUAAAGCUCAAGUAAAACAUAAGCCUAUUAUUACAAUAAAAAUCUCCAACCCCACUAAAAAUAUUAAGCCGCCCUAUGUAACCAUAGAAAAGACAAUGCUAAGAUUAGUAACAGGAAGAAAUGAUCUUCUCCAAGCGCACGUGUUCAUCAGACCGGACAACCCACUGAUAAAUAAAAGAACCCAAUCAAAGAGGGAAUCACAAUAUAAAACAUAAACAAGAAAAACAUGAGCAAAAUUAUCGUCAACCCAACACAGGAGCGCACUACAAGGAAUGACUAAAUGGAGAAAAAGGAACUCGGCAAACACGGGCCUCGCCUGUUUACCAAAAACAUGGCCUCUUGCAACCCAAACAUAAGAGGUCCAGCCUGCCCAGUGACAUAUAAGUUAAACGGCCGCAGUAUUUUAACCGCGCUAAGGUAGCGUAAUCACUUGUCUUUUAAAUGAAGACCCGUAUGAAAGGCACCACGAGGGCCCUACUGUCUCCUUCCCCAAGUCUAUGAAAUUGAUCUGCCCGUGCAGAAGCGGACAUAAAUACAUAAGACGAGAAGACCCUAUGGAGCUUUAGACAUAAGUCAAUCAUGCCUAAACACUAUAAAUAAAUAACAAAGCAUAAUGACACUGACCCACUUGUCUUCGGUUGGGGCGACCAAGGAGGAAAACACAGCCUCCUAGAAGAAUUAAGAUUAAUUAUCUUAAAGAACCGAGAGCUACUGCUCUAAGCAACAGAAAAUUCUGACUACACAGAUCCGAAUUAUCGAUUAACGAACCAAGUUACCCUAGGGAUAACAGCGCAAUCCUUUUUAAGAGCCCAUAUCGACAAAAGGGUUUACGACCUCGAUGUUGGAUCAGGACAUCCUAGUGGCGAAAAUUUUACUAAGGGUUCGUUUGUUCAACGAUUAAAGUCCUACGUGAUCUGAGUUCAGACCGGAGAAAUCCAGGUCAGUUUCUAUCUAUGACAUGACCCUUCCCAGUACGAAAGGACCGGAAGAAAUGAGGCCAAUACUACAAGCACGCCUCACCUCUACCUGUUGAAAACAACUAAAACAAUAAAGGGGCAUAACAAGCUCGCUAAAAAUAACAGCAA
rnacentral:rRNA from 1 species